AUACGGAGGGAGCAAGCGUUAUUCGGAAUCACUGGGCGUAAAGGACGCGUAGGCGGGUUAUUAAGUCGGGUGUGAAAUCCAAUGGCUCAACCAUUGAACUGCAUUCGAAACUGAUAACCUAGAGUAUGGAAGGGGCAGGUGGAAUCAGUGGUGUAGGGGUAAAAUCCGUAGAUAUCACUAGGAAUACCGAAAGCGAAGGCGACCUGCUGGGACAUUACUGACGCUGAGGCGUGAAAGCGUGGGGAGCAAACAGGAUUAGAAACCCCUGUAGUCC
rnacentral:rRNA from 1 species